rnacentral:rRNA from 1 species
UACGGAGGGUGCAAGCGUUAUCCGGAUUUACUGGGUUUAAAGGGUGCGCAGGCGGAUAUGUACGUCAGUGGUGAAAUCUCUUGGCUUAACCCGGAAAUUGCCAUUGAUACUAUAUAUCUUGAAUGUUGUGGAGGUAAGCGGAAUAUGUCAUGUAGCGGUGAAAUGCUUAGAUAUGACAUAGAACACCUAUUGCGAAGGCAGCUUACUACGCAGAUAUUGACGCUCAUGCACGAAAGCGUGGGGAUCAAACAGG